UUGGAUUCUCAACUCCAACAUCAUUUUUCUCCUUUUUAUUAACUUAAUUAAUCCUAGCCGUCCCUUCCAUUUCACUUCAGAUAAUCUCAGCCAUUUAAGUCUUACUAUAUAUACGUUUAUUUAAGCCUAACCCUACCCUCAUAGUGCUCAUCUCCUCCUCCUCCUUUCUGCCGAUUGUGGAGGUCUUCUCUGCUUCCUCCUUUCCUUUUUUUUUUUUCUCCAGCAAGCCCUUGUAGUCCCUUUCGAUUUCUUCCCCAUCUCUAGAUUUCUUUGAUUUAAAGCCUCUAUUUAUUUUUUUUGUUUAUUUAUGUAGCUUUCAAUAUCCUUUCCAUCGACCACCACUCUCCUCUCAUCUGCUUGUACUUUCUCGCCUAAUUGGCCAGCGCUCUUCUCUGUGAUUUUGGGAGUUCUUGUGGUAUCAGUAUCAGCAACAAUUCUCCUUUCGCAUAAGUAAGUCACAGGUAGCAGAGAGCUGGGAAAUGAAGAUGUUAGUGGUUGCUCUAAUCAACUAUGCAAUAGCAACGACAAUUGAACAUGAACUCAAAACCCAUCCCAACCCAAAUUACAAAACAUAUGCUAGAAAUAUUCGUCUCCUAUUGGGUUAUAUGGCAAUUGUGAUAUUUGUUUUGAUUAAUGUUCUCAUCUAUGGUGUGUUACUUUUGAGUUUAUGGGUUUACAUGGUUAUACGAGUAGCACGCAAUCCAUAUCAAGACUUAUAUCUAUUAGUAGGUGAAGAUUUGCAGCACUCAAAGGAGCUAGCUGAAGAUGCAAUCCAAAGGCUAUUUGGCAGGCUGGAGUGAGCCACGGAAUCAAUCGUCUAGUUAGGUAUAUCAUUCUAGUAAAUCUGAGUUGUCUUUAUAAUUUUAGAUCUCUAUAUAAAAUGUAUGAUUUUAGCAGUAAUUUUAAUGGUUUAAUUGUGAUAGUUUAGUCUAUAUUAAUGUAACUGAGUUGUAGAAAUAAUACUUAGUUGUAGGAUUUUGAAAGGGUUUUCAUUGAAAUUUUGAAAUUUAUUUGUGUAUUUCAUGAUUGAACAUGUUAGAAUAUUUGUUUAUUA